AACUCACAGAUGCACCAUCAAUCCAGCUGGAGAUUCAAGACCAUAUACAAAAUCGUUUUAUAUCACCAGGACAGAGAAAAGUAGUCGUGAAGUGGGAGUAUGCAAACAGUGAGGCUGUGGCUUACUACAAUGUGACAGUGAGGAAAGUAUCCGGGGAACUUAGCAAUCAGGACAGUUUCAGAACUGAAGAUUCAUCUCUCACCAUGAUCCUGUCUUACUCUGCAUACAACAUCAGUAUCAGAGCUUUAAACACUGCUGGAUCAUCUCCUGUUUCCAGUAUAGCCACUGAGCAAAUGGAUGAAUGGAGGGAUUCAUUUGGGCCAUUCAGUGUCAACAUAACCAGCCACAACCAUUUUAGUCUGUCCUGGAAUAUGUCCGCCUCAAGUGUUUGUUACUCUGUGGAGUGGUGGGCCAAAGGACAGAUACCAACUUUUUGUCCAUUCUACGAAAAGCAGACACGCAAAGAAAUAACUGGGAAAACUGAAAGCUGUAGGAGCAAAGGACGUGACAUGUGGCCAAUUUUUCAGCCAUAUACAAGAUAUUAUUUCGUCCUGCACACCAGACCGUACCCAGACACCUGCCACAUGAAGAAUUUAAACAACAGUGAGACGACCUAUGGCACAGCCCAAGCUUACUUCACUGAAGGAAGUCCUAUCAGUGCUCCUGGGAAUGUGAGCAUUUUUAAUAUUACCCGGCAUUCCUCAGUAAUCACAUGGUGCCCCGUGUCUGAGGAAGACCUGCGUGGAUUCUUAUUAGGCUACUACAUCUACUUGAUGUGGGACAAUAAUGAAACAUCCUUCAAAGUGGAUCCCAGCGUAAACAGUUAUGAGCUGCAGAAUCUUGAAAGCAACAGUGCGUACCGCGUGCAGCUGUCUGCAUUUACAGCGGCUGGAGAAGGAGAGCGAAGUGAUUUCAAACACUUUGUCACAAACCUACUAGAAUUCACAGCUUUGAACAGCAUUAUAGCCGCGGUUGUUGUGGGAAUAAUAAUUCUUUUACUAGCAGUUCACCUCAGCUGUCGACUUCUGCACAGACCAAAUCCUGAGAAUAGCAACGCUGUUCAGAAAACUGAAAUUGUCUAUGAUCUGGGUAUCCUGGAGCCACUGAACAGACAGAGGUUAGAGGAAAGUGAGGGAUGUGAUUACACUGCAGUCCAGUACAGUGUUUGUCGUUGGGAGCAAGAGGGAGGCAUCUCCUCUCUGUAGCCCUCCCACUGCUCAGGCUGGUGUGCCCACCACCCUUCUCCUCAGUGAAGAUGAGGACAGCCCAUCCAUCCCGGAGCAGAUCCCACCACCUGACAUCCCAACACAAGUCCUUCAAGGGGCGUUUCUAGGAUUUUCAUUUUAGGGGGGCUCAGCCCCUAACAAGGGUAUGAUUAAAAAAAUAUAUUAUUUGAGGUAGGGUAGGGUAGGGUUGUAUACUACUAACCUUAUUGUAAUCCACUAUUCCAUUGUAUUCCCUGUAUUUCAUAUAUGGGAGUAGGAGUACUGACUGAGCCAUAUACAACACUGUAAAAAAUUUUUGAAAAAUUUAGAUGUGACCAGUCAUUAGAAAAUUUUGAGUUGGGAAUGUAGAUUUUUUUUACAAUGAAGACUUCCUGAUUCAUUAUUAGGACAUUCAUGUUUAUCCUUUGACGAUACCACUGUUUUUUCUUAUGAAAUGUACGUGGAAAUUGGCAGACAAUUAAAACAACAUAAGGGUUCAAUGACUGCAAUUAAUCUUGUGAACACAGUGGUAUUGUGUGUGAGAGGCUGUCUACGUUCUAUUCUCACCUGACUUGCUCAUUUGCAGACCUACUCCCGCACUACAAGAAAAAAUGUUGUAUAUCCAUCUACAAUGAAAUAUAUAUAUAUUAGCCUUUAUAAUCAACAAUACGGUUGGUUAUACAUCAAGUCACCCCCUGAAAAUUUAUUUCAUUUCAAAUCAUUUAACUAACCAGCUAAUAUUCAUUAAGAAUACAGACAAAACAUGUAUUAAUGCAAUUGUCUAUUUGCAAUAUGUUUAAUCUAUUCUAUAUUUAUUUCUAUUUAUUAAAAAUAAUAACAUGAAUUAUCAAUUUGCCACUUCUAUAAAUCAAUUACUUAAAAAAAAAUCACAAAUCCCUUUAAUCUACUCUUACUCUAAUAUAUGUAUCAUGAUACACUAUGAUUCAUUAUUACUUAAUACAAAAAUAUAUUUAAAAAUACAAAACAAAAUAACUCCACAUGAUGUUUCUCUCUCUGUGCCAUUUAGUGCUCUCAGACGUGUGUCUUUAAUCAUUUCUGUGCAUGGCUGCAUAAUGUAAUGCCGAAAUACACAAUAAUAUGUUUUGAAUUUUAAAAAGUAAAUUAAAAUAAAUCACUAUUGUUUUCUAAAGUAUGUUUUCA
ensembl:lncRNA